rnacentral:rRNA from 1 species
GAGCGUUUGAUCCUGGCUCAGGACGAACGCUGGCGGCGUGCUUAACACAUGCAAGUCGAGCGAUGAAAUCCCUUCGGGGAUGGAUUAGCGGCGGACGGGUGAGUAACACGUGGGCAACCUGCCUCAAAGUGGGGGAUAGCCUUCCGAAAGGGAGAUUAAUACCGCAUAACAUUAGUUUUUCACAUGAAUUACUAAUUAAAGGAGUAAUCCGCUUUGAGAUGGGCCCGCGGCGCAUUAGCUAGUUGGUGAGGUAACGGCUCACCAAGGCCACGAUGCGUAGCCGACCUGAGAGGGUGAUCGGCCACAUUGGAACUGAGACACGGUCCAGACUCCUACGGGAGGCAGCAGCGGGGAAUAUUGCACAAUGGGCGAAAGCCUGAUGCAGCAACGCCGCGUGAGUGAUGAAGGCCUUCGGGUUGUAAAGCUCUGUCUUUGGGGACGAUAAUGACGGUACCCAAGGAGGAAGCCACGGCUAACUACGUGCCAGCAGCCGCGGUAAUACGUAGGUGGCGAGCGUUGUCCGGAUUUACUGGGCGUAAAGGAUGCGUAGGCGGAUGUUUAAGUCAGAUGUGA